rnacentral:tRNA from 1 species
GUGGAUAUAGCUCAGUUGGUAGAGUGCUUGCUUAGCAUGCACAAGGACCUGGGUUCAAUUCCCAGUACCACC